rnacentral:rRNA from 1 species
AACGAACGCUGGCGGCGCGCCUAAUACAUGCAAGUCGAGCGAGAAGACGUAGCAAUACGUUUGUAAAGCGGCGAACGGGUGAGGAAUACAUGGGUAACCUACCCUCGAGUGGGGAAUAACUAGCCGAAAGGUUAGCUAAUACCGCGUACGCUCCUUGGACUUCGGUUCAGGGAGGAAAGCGAUACCGUGGGUAUCGCGCUCUUGGAUGGGCUCAUGUCCUAUCAGCUUGUUGGUGAGGUAACGGCUCACCAAGGCUUCGACGGGUAGCUGGUCUGAGAGGACGAUCAGCCACACUGGCACUGCGACACGGGCCAGGACUCCUACGGGAGGCAGCAGUAAGGAAUAUUG